rnacentral:rRNA from 1 species
UACGAAGGGGGCUAGCGUUGCUCGGAUUGACUGGGCGUAAAGAGCUCGUAGGCGGUCUGUCGCGUCUGCUGUGAAAACUCGGGGCUUAACCCCGGGCCUGCAGUGGGUACGGGCAGACUAGAGUGCGGUAGGGGAGACUGGAAUUCCCGGUGUAGUGGUGAAAUGCGCAGAUAUCAGGAGGAACACCGAUGGCGAAGGCAGGUCUCUGGGCUGUAACUGACGCUGAGGAGCGAAAGCAUGGGGGAGCGAACAGG